CACUUAACCUCUGUUUGCUUUAAUCCACCGGAAAAGGAAAUGGCCAACCCCAACAGCAUUUUCGCCAGGAAAAUUCCUUGGAGAUAAUAUGGUCCUCCGGGUCAUGAAGAAUCAGAUGCGACUGAGCAACACCAACACAUUUGCACUGCUCUUUUGCAUAACUAACAUUUGAUGACCAGACUCAAAGUCCACCUUAAAGAGAGAAGAGCAAGAUUCCAGGGAUAACUGUUACACCUGACUUCAAGCUUAUGUAAAUGGCCUAACUGGGGCAGCACAUAUACCCUACAGAGAGAAACAAAUUCAAGGUUUCAUGGAAAUAUGCUGUAGAUCAUCUGGACUAUAGGAAGAAGCUAAGGAAGAGUUUGGAAAACAAAACACAAAUUGGCACAGAGGCAUGUGGUAGUGAAGAAUUCAACUACCUGGACAUCUGCAGUUUUCUUUCUGCCAGAAGCAGUGAAUCUGAGAAGCAUCGGAGAACUACAUGGACUGAUGCAGAGUGAAGUAAGCAGAGUCAAGAAAAUAUACAUAUUAACUUCAACAGUGCAAAUGGAAAGAAUGACAUGCCAAAAAAAAUUAAAUAUUACAAAAUUAU
rnacentral:lncRNA from 1 species